UACGGAGGGUGCAAGCGUUAUCCGGAUUCACUGGGUUUAAAGGGUGCGUAGGUGGGUAGGUAAGUCAGUGGUGAAAUCCCCGAGCUUAACUUGGGAACUGCCAUUGAUACUAUUUGUCUUGAAUACUGUGGAGGUUAGCGGAAUAUGUCAUGUAGCGGUGAAAUGCUUAGAUAUGACAUAGAACAUCAAUUGCGAAGGCAGCUGGCUACACAAAUAUUGACACUGAUGCACGAAAGCGUGGGGAUCAAACAGG
rnacentral:rRNA from 1 species